GUAAAUCUCCCAACAAAAUUGAUUGAUUGACGGAAUAAGGUAAGGUCAUACAAAUGCUUUCCACAACAGAGUCGUGAUCAAACUUUUUAAAAAGAAAUUUAGAAGUCUCAAACUCUGAAUCUUGACUCCGCACUCUGCUUCUGGCUAUCACUAGCUUCUGAUAGUUCUUCUGUUAGCAGUCUUAUAGAACUUGGUAAUUCCUUUUUUAACAAUGAACAGUUUCAUGAGCAACCAGUACAAAGGAUGUACUGAGGCACCGGUAAAUAGUUGAAAAAUAAAAC
rnacentral:misc_RNA from 1 species